AUGGAAGGGGUGGAGCCGCACUCGGAUAUGAAAGCCAUCUUUGCCACAGCUUUUUACCAUGUAUUUGUUGGCACAAAUACGGGCAGCCUCCAGGGCUUUGGAAGAGAGCUGCUCAUAUUCAUCCGACACCAUGUGGCCACACAGUGGAAACUCAUCCACUUUUGCCUUCUUCCGGCCCAGAUCAAAGAUACGGAUCUUGGCAUCAGCGGGCGGGGCGGCGGCCCAUGGCGACACCAGGGUCUUCGGUGGCGUGCCGAAGGAAAAAGAGCAGAAUGGAAUAAAUAUUUACAAACCACAUAUUUGACAAAAGUCUAUCAUCUAGAAUAAAGAACUCAUAAAAUACAACAGUAAAAAAAUCAGUCUAAUUAAAAUAUGGACAAAAGACUUGAAGAGGAAUUUUUUUGUAAGACUAUUUACCUAGUUGAAAGGCAGAAUUACAGAGAGAGGGAGAGACAGAAUGAGAAAGAGAGAGAGAGAAAGAGAGAGAGAGAAUGAGUGUGUGAUCUUGCAUUUACUGGUUCACUCCCCAAAUAGCUGCAACCAUCAAGGCUGAGCUAGGUCAAAGCUAGGAGCCAGGAGUUUCAUCUGGGUUUGUCUCCCACAUGGAUACAAGGGCCCAAGCACUUGGGCCAUUUUCUGCUGCUUUCCCAGGCUAUUAGAGAGCUAGAUUGAAAGUGGAGCAGCUGACGCCGGCGCCGUGGCUCAAUAGGCUAAUCCUCCACCUUGCGGCGCCGGCACACCGGGUUCUAGUCCCGGUUGGGGCGCCGGAUUCUGUCCCGGUUGCCCCUCUUCCAGGCCAGCUCUCUGCUAUGGCCAGGGAGUGCAGUGGAGGAUGGCCCAGGUGCUUGGGCCCUGCACCCCAUGGGAGACCAGGAAAAGCACCUGGAUCCUGGCUCCUGCCAUCGGAUCAGCGCGGUGCGCCGGCUGCAGCGGCGGCCAUUGGAGGGUGAACCAACGGCAAAAGGAAGACCUUUCUCUCUCUGUCUGUCUCUCACACUGUCCACUCUGCCUGUCAAAAAAAAAAAAACAGAAUUAGCUCAGACUGCAAAAAAGUUGGAGCAGCUGAGACACACACUGGCACCCAUGUUGGACUCUGGCUUUACAGGUGGUGGCUUAAACCAAACUGUGAUUCCUCCAUACCAUAAAAUACUACUCAGUAAUGA
rnacentral:lncRNA from 1 species